UUUCCUCUUUCAACACAAACAGCAGAGAAACCCUCUGCUAGGGUUUCAUCCUCUCUACCGUCGCCAAUCAAGGCCGAUCCUAUGGCCUCCGUCGAUGCCCCCAAUUUCCGAUGGCGACGGAAAAGGGAACACCGCAACAAGACCGGGUAAGUUUUCUUUUCUCCCUUUUUUCUUUUUUAUUAAGCGAAAAAUAAAAAUAAAAAAUAAAAUGAAAACAGAGUAAAAAGAAACAAAACUAGGAAUUAAGAACUCUAAAAAAAACCACCUUUUGUAUUCGGAAAUCAAUAAGUAAAUCUCUGCUUUCUCCUACUUUUCCUAUGUCUAAACUGUAACUCUCCCC
rnacentral:lncRNA from 1 species